AUUGAACGCUGGCGGCAGGCCUAACACAUGCAAGUCGAGCGGAUGAAGGGAGCUUGCUCCUGGAUUCAGCGGCGGACGGGUGAGUAAUGCCUAGGAAUCUGCCUGGUAGUGGGGGAUAACGUCCGGAAACGGGCGCUAAUACCGCAUACGUCCUGAGGGAGAAAGUGGGGGUCUUCGGACCUCACGCUAUCAGAUGAGCCUAGGUCGGAUUAGCUAGUUGGUGGGGUAAAGGCCUACCAAGGCGACGAUCCGUAACUGGUCUGAGAGGAUGAUCAGUCACACUGGAACUGAGACACGGUCCAGACUCCUACGGGAGGCAGCAGUGGGGAAUAUUGGACAAUGGGCGAAAGCCUGAUCCAGCCAUGCCGCGUGUGUGAAGAAGGUCUUCGGAUUGUAAAGCACUUUAAGUUGGGAGGAAGGGCAGUAAGUUAAUACCUUGCUGUUUUGACGUUACCAACAGAAUAAGCACCGGCUAACUUCGUG
rnacentral:rRNA from 1 species